rnacentral:rRNA from 1 species
AGGUGGGGAUGACGUCAAGUCCUCAUGGCCCUUAUGGGUAGGGCUUCACACGUCAUACAAUGGUCGGAACAGAGGGUCGCCAAGCCGCGAGGUGGAGCCAAUCCCAGAAAACCGAUCGUAGUCCGGAUCGCACUCUGCAACUCGAGUGCGUGAAGCUGGAAUCGCUAGUAAUCGCGGAUCAGCAUGCCGCGGUGAAUACGUUCCCGGGUCUUGUACACACCGCCCGU